GAUGAACGCUGGCGGCGUGCCUAAUACAUGCAAGUCGAGCGAGCAGACGAGGAGCUUGCUCCUCUGACGUUAGCGGCGGACGGGUGAGUAACACGUGGAUAACCUACCUAUAAGACUGGGAUAACUUCGGGAAACCGGAGCUAAUACCGGAUAAUAUAUUGAACCGCAUGGUUCAAUAGUUAAAGACGGUUUUGCUGUCACUUAUAGAUGGAUCCGCGCCGCAUUAGCUAGUUGGUAAGGUAACGGCUUACCAAGGCGACGAGGCGUAGCCGACCUGAGAGGGGAACAGGCCACACUGGAACUGGGAAACGGUCCAAACUCCAACGGAAGGCAGCAGUGGGAAAACUUCCGCAAUGGGCGAAAGCCUAACGAGGCAACGCGGGGUGGGUGAUGAGGGUCUUCGGAUCGUAAAACUCUGUUAUUAGGAAAGAACGAAGGUGUAAGUAACUAUGCACGUCUUGACGGUACCUAAGCAGAAAGCCACGGCUAACUACGU
rnacentral:rRNA from 1 species